CGAGCUGCCUGAUGGCCAGGUCAUCACCAACGGCAAUGAGCGGUUCCACUGUCCCGAGGCACUCUUCCAGCCUUCCUUCCUGGGCAUGGAAUCCUGUGGCAUCCACGAAACUACCUUCAACUCCAUCAUGAAGUGUGAUGUGGACAUCUGCAAACACCUGUACAUCAACACAGUGCUGUCUGGCGGCACCACCAUGUACCCUGGCCAUCGCGGACAGGAUGCAGAAGGAGAUCACUUAGCCCUGGUGCCCAGCACGAUGAAGAUCAAGAUCAUUGCUCCUCCUGAGUGCAAGUACUCCGUGUGGAUCGGCACCUCUAUCCUGGCCUCUCUGUCCACCUUCCAGCAGAUAUGGAUCAGCAAGCAGGAGUAUGAUGAGUCUGGCCCCUCCAUCGCCCACUGCAAAUGCUCCUGUGCAGACUGUGACUUAGUUACAUUACACCCUUUCUUGACAAAACCUAACUUGCACAGAAAACAAUAUGAAAUUGGCAUGGCUUUAUUUGUUUUUUUGUUUGUUUCUUUCUUUUUUUUUUGGCUUGACUCAGGAUUUAAAAACUGGAACGGUGAAGGUGACAGCGGUCGGUUGGAGUGAGCAUCCCCCAGAGUUCUACAAUGUGGUCAAGGACUUUGAUUGUACGUUGUUCUUUUUUUUUUUUUAAAUAGUCAUUCCAAAUAUUGUGAGAUGAAUUGUUACAGGAAGUUCCUUGCCCUCCUAAAAGCCACCCCACUUCUCUCUAAGGAGAAUGGCCCAGUCCUCUCCUACGUCCACACAGGGGAAGUGAUAGAAUUGCUCUGAUGUAAAUUAUGUAAUGCAAAAUUUUUUAAAUCUUUGCCUUAACGCUUUUUUAUUUUGUUUUAUUUUGAAUGAUCAGCCUUUGUGGCCCCCCUUUUUUGUCCCCCAACUUGAGAUGUAUGAAGGCUUUUGGUCUCCCUGGGAGUAGGUGGAGGCAGCCGGGGCUUACCUGUACACUGACUUGAGACCAGUUGAAUAAAAGUGCACACCUUAAAAAAAACAAAAAACAAAAAACAAAAAAA